UACGGAGGGUGCGAGCGUUAUCCGGAUUCACUGGGUUUAAAGGGUGCGUAGGUGGGCUAGUAAGUCAGUGGUGAAAUCUCCGGGCUUAACCUGGAAACUGCCAUUGAUACUAUUGGUCUUGAAUUAUCUGGAGGUCAGCGGAAUAUGUCAUGUAGCGGUGAAAUGCUUAGAUAUGACAUAGAACACCGAUUGCGAAGGCAGCUGGCUACGGGUGGAUUGACACUGAGGCACGAAAGCGUGGGGAU
rnacentral:rRNA from 1 species